UGUCAGCUGGUUUCUGACAUCCCCCAAAUAGUCAGCAGUAGAGAGGAGGUAGUCCAAGCAAAGAGCUUGUUAACAGUCCACGGACUGAAAGACAUUCAUCUGACUUUUUAAUUUCCUGUUGAAAAGGCUGUCUAUAAUUACAAAGAUCAUGGUGUAGAGUUGGAGAAAGAGAGUCUUGCAUAAUCACAUGAUUCUGGGAGCUGGACACUAACCUCUGGGAGCCGGAUACCUAAUUCUGGGAGCCCUACUAUUGAACUGGAGAACAUAUGCAUAGCAAAUAAAUCUACUUUUGAUAGUU